UGAGGAAUAUUGGUCAAUGGGCGCGAGCCUGAACCAGCCAAGUCGCGUGAGGGAGGACGGCCCUACGGGUUGUAAACCUCUUUUGCCGGGGAGCAACGGGCGCCACGUGUGGCGUCACUGAGAGUACCCGGAGAAAAAGCAUCGGCUAACUCCGUGCCAGCAGCCGCGGUAAUACGGAGGAUGCGAGCGUUAUCCGGAUUUAUUGGGUUUAAAGGGUGCGUAGGCGGAUCGUUAAGUCAGUGGUCAAAUUGAGGGGCUCAACCCCUUCCCGCCAUUGAAACUGGCGUUCUUGAGUGGAAGAGA
rnacentral:rRNA from 1 species